rnacentral:lncRNA from 1 species
UUCCAAGAUAUAGAAAACCUCUCAAAACUCAAUAGUAGUAAAACAAAUACUGAGUUAAAAAUAGUUGAAAAACUUCAGACACUUCACUAAAGACGAUAUAGGGAUGGCGAAUAAGCAAGUGAAAAAAGGAUGUUCAACACUAUUAGUCAUUAGGAAAAUGAAAAUUAAAGUCAUGAUGAGAUACCAGCACAUACCCUACAUACCUGUUAAAAUGGCCAAAAUUUUAAAAAUACUGACAAUAUCAGCAGAUGACAAAGAUGCAGAGAAACUGAAAAUCUCAUACACUGUUGGUAGGAAUACAAAAAUGGUCCAACAGCUCUAUAAAACAGUUUAGUAUUUUCUUAUAUAAUUAAACAUACACUUAUUACAUGACUCAGAUAUCCUACUACUCAGGGUUUACCCCAGAGAUGCAAAAUUAUAUUCACACAAAAAUCUGUAUGUGAACAUUCAUAGUGGAUUUAUUCAUAACUGUCCCAAACAGUAAGAAACUCAAAUUGCUUUCAGCAAAUAAAUGGAAAAACUGGCACUUUCUUACAGUAGAAUACUACUCAGUAAUAAAAAGGAACAAGCUAGCAUAACAUGGGUAGUAUGACUACAAAGUAUGACAGCUUUAGGAUGAUGGGACUUUUCUAAAUCCUGGUUGUUGGGGUGGUUACAUUAAUCUGCACGUGUUAUAAUUCAUAGAACUAUAUGCUAAAAGGGAUAAAAGUCAAUUUUAUUGCAUAAUCAUCUUAAGAAAUAAUUCAUAUUUUAGAAAUUCAAAUUAAAUUAAAUUCAAAGUCAAUUAUAAUAAUAUUAAAAUCCAAUCUGUUGGGUCAUAGAGGCCUAUAGCUGCCUGUGUGUUCUGAGUCUUGAAAUUCUACCAUGCCCUUAUGCCUAAAAUAGAGGAGGAGAAGUAAUAACAGAUUUAUCUUGAGGCAGCAAUUUAGGAUCCUCAGAUAUAGGAAGAAAAAUCUCUAAAAUGGGAAUAUUUUUGACAACUUGUUUUGAUGCCCUCUUGUUUGGAGGGCUGAAGGAGAAGAAUUCAUCAUGCAGUUAUCUCAGGAAAAUGUAUGAACUUGGCCUUUUGGAUCUGGGACCAAGAGCUGUGACUACCUGGUACCACUCUACUUGUCCUAAUUAUCUUUGGCUUGUGUAACAUCUUUGUAGGCUUAGUGUAUCAGUCAGGGUCUGUCGAGCGGGCAGAAACCAUGUGAGUAUUUAAAAUGGAAGAAAUACAAUCUAAGAAAUCAGUUACUGAAGUGAUGGAUGCUGGAAAAGCCAAAUGAGAUACAAUGAGGCAAUCCAGGAAUUGACAACAUUUGGAAUUAUCUGCUACCCUAGGCAGCUGUAAGAACAGAGGGGAGAGGUGGUUUUACUGGCACCCAGGGUUGGGAUGGUAAAGCAGAAAAUAGAACUACAGCAGGCUACUGGGAAACAGCUGGGCCCACCUGGAAGAUGAAGCCCUGGCUAGGAUGCUGCCCAAGGCAGAGAAGGAGGCAGAGAAAGAUCCUGGCUUCUCUCUUUCUCUCUCUCUCUCCCUCUAAUCUCUCAGCAAUGGCUCUCAUUGCCCAAACACAUCUGGAAGACAACUGCUGGGGAUAGUGAAAAAAUCCACUUGUUAGGAUCACCCCUUCCUUCCAAGAGAAAAAGCAGAUCAAAGAAAGGAUAAAGAAUGGCUUUAUGGGAAAAGAGGCCUAGGAUCAGGCCUGUCAGCCCAAAACUGACCACAAGUAAAGAGGUUAUUGGGCCUUGUUCUGGUUGUAAUCAAGUUGGGAAGUCUUCCGUCUAUCAUCCAUGAUGGCUGCAAUGGCCAUCAUAGAGUGGCCUAUACUGUUUGGGAGAGUUUCACAGUAGGACCUGCAAAUUCUCAGCCCUUCCCUGUGGGUGAUUUCAAGGAAAAGGCCCUCUAACUUUCUGUAAUCCUCCUGUGACCCCCACGUAAGACAUUGUAUUCUCACAACAUUUGCCCUCUGUGUUCUAAGUCACAGUUUAGUUUAUUCCCAUCCUGUACCACUCACUUGCUUUUGCAUACAUUAUAAAGCUAUAUAGUUUUAGUACCCUAUAAAGCCAUAUACUUUUGGUCCCCCACGGGUCUCUCAUUUUAGCAUCUCUGUCCCUUUUCUCAGUGUGGACAGCCCUUGAUCCUUUCAGCAGCUCUUCUAUCAUUUUUCCCAGUGAUCUUUGAUGCCUCGCCUAUCAUGAUACAACUUUCUUUAAAAAUAUGAAAACAGUUACUACGAAAUUCUAAACUUUCCUCCAUGGCCUCCUUCCUCCAAUAACUCCUGAUGGAAAUUCUUCAUCCUGUAGCUGAAGAUGACCUUCUGUUUGUAUCAUUCAUGGUUUAGCCAUCUGCCCAGAGGCUAUGCAAGGUACUCCAGUAGAAGGAUUUUACAAUGGUUUUGAACCAUUAGUAGGACCAGAAAGAUACAGAGAAGAAUUAGAGUUAUUGGAGCCCAAGAAUCAGAGCCACCCACAGAAGCUAAUUAAUAGCAGAGGCUUCAUAGUAGGAACAGAGACCAAGGAAGAGACACAGUCACUGCUAGAGACGUUGGCUGAAGCUGAGAGAAAGGGGGAGAAACACCCUGUCUUCCUCUUCCCCCUAAUCUUCAAUCACCCCAGUGAUUUUUAUUGACUAACACAAGCCAGAAGCUAGUUGGCAAGAGAGUUCAGGAAAUGAAGUUUACAGAAAAAGGACAGGGAGAGGAUUUAAGAGAAAACAAGCAAAUGACCCAGUUUACUAGUUAUAAUAUUCAUUUUUAAGCUUUCGCAUUCAGCUGUCUGCCUCCAAAUCUUUACUACUUCUAAAGAGUUUCCUCUUAACACUCCAGCCUCUUUCUGCUAGUGACUUAAAAUACAUCCAGAUACAGACUGUCACAGGACUGGGUCUAGAGCACUGAUCUGGUUUUCCAUCCAAUGUUAGGUCAACAAUCUGUUUUAAAUGCUACCAUCCAACACUUACCCUCAUCUGUCACUCCUCACCCAAAUAUAACUAAGUCAUAAUAUGUGGGAGGGUGCAUUAGUGCAAACGUUGACUGUUAGCAGAGCUUGCAUGCAAUUGGUAGAAAAGAUUGUGUAAAUUAUUGGUACAUCUUUCACUUUCAAUUACUGACUAGUCCACUGGGGUAUAUCCAUAGCUGUAGACCCCUCUUGCCUCCCAUAUGUCUCCUCCAGGCUCCCUUUAUCUUUUCCAUUAUUCACCUUGAUGGAGUCUUUUAUAUUUCCCCACUGGCUCUAAGUCCUGUAUAAAGAAAAGAUAUGGCUAUGUAAGUGGUUUAUAUUUACUGCAAAAGUUUAUUAAGUGUUUAUGAAUCUUUGCUAGAUCCUUAAUACAUAUGCAUGUCUCUGAGUGUGUAUCCUCAUUACCUUCAAUAUGGUAUAACUUUCCUAGACUGAUUCUUUCUUAACCAGGAUAGGUUAUUAAAUCAUGCUUGUUUUGCUUCUCUUUGUUGUCUUUUUAGUGCUCUGCUUCCUCUAACUGGAUUGUGAGUCUCUCUAAGGGUUUCCACUCCCUUGGUAUACAGAAAAUUGCAUUUGGUGAGUUGUAUACAAAGAAGCUCUUUCAGAGAUCAUGACUUGACUGACAAGUGAAAGGAGAUGGCCAGGAGUUAAUAAUGAUACUGAGGUCUCCUGUUACCAACACCCACACCAGUAGGUAUCAUCUGGCACCAACUUCAUGGCCUCCUUUGUCUCAGAAAGGAAACUGGAAGUUUCAGGGGCCAAGUCUUGCAUUGCCUUCCUAGCCCACGGCAUCUCUUUUAAGAAGUGCCUAAACCAUCAAUUUAUUUCCAUCUCUGUUUCUUCUACUCAUGUCUUACAACAGCCUUCCAUCAGUAGUCACACUGUACAUUUGUUUUGCAUUUUUAUAUAAAUAGAAUCAUGAAGUACAAACAAGGGUUGUCUCUGGAAUCUCUUGCUUAACACUGUGCUUGUGGAAUCACCAUGUAGUUGUGUACAGCCAUAGUUCAUUCAUCCUUUUUGCUGAAUAGUACUCCCUUGCUUUGGCUUGUUUCAAUGGAUUUCCAUUUCUUGCAAUCAAACAAGCCAUGACUAAGGAAGAUAAUGAAGCAUGAAACUGUCCUUCCUAGAGAAACCACAGGCAUGGAAUGAAAAGUCCCUGAGGAGGACUUCCCUGUCCUUCUCUCAUCAAGCUGGGACAUUCCUUUCAUAUCCAGUCAACUUUAGAGCAACACUGAGUUUUGGUGAAUGGAUUCAGAGAUCCAUAUGGCAACUCUCUUGGAUCCUGGCACCAGGUCAAAAGAUGACAAUUCUUCACUCCUUUCAUAUUUUUUACCCUGUAGUUGCUCAUAUCUGAAAACCUCACACUUUGCAAACUUCUAUCAGCUUUGUAUGCUGUGGUGUUGAGCUGAAAAACUGUUAUUUUCUUACAGUACUCUGAAGUCCUAAAGCCAUAAAUUUGGGAGAAAGGCAAUAUUUUGCUAUGGAUAUUUGCAUAAUAUCAACAAACUAUUGAUUGCAUCUUUGCCAGUGUUUAGAGGCUUGUGGCCACUUUGUAGAGUCAAGGUGAGAUUUCUCUUUUUAUCAUAAUUAGCUGAAAAUUUCGAGCUGAGAACAGGUGAAGACAGUAUGGUAUGUGCAGGUUUCUUCCCAUUAGGCAUGGGCUUUCAGAUGUACAGUUUUGCUUGGUAAGAGCAGAAUGGUGGGGGUGGUGCAUACUUUUAUUAUGUAACUACAUCCUGUUUUCCCCAUUGUUAAUAACAUCUCAAAGAACACAAGGGAAUUCAGGAAGAGAACUUUCAUAAUG